GUGGUCUAGUGGUUAGGAUUUACGGCUCUCACCCAUAAGGCCCGGGUUCGAUUCACGGC
rnacentral:tRNA from 1 species